rnacentral:rRNA from 1 species
GACGAACGCUGGCGGCGUGCUUAACACAUGCAAGUCGAACGGAAAGGCCCUGCUUGCAGGGUGCUCGAGUGGCGAACGGGUGAGUAACACGUGGGUGAUCUGCCCCUUACUUUGGGAUAAGCCUGGGAAACUGGGUCUAAUACUGGAUAGGACCAUGCUGUAGGUGGUGUGGUGGAAAGAUUAGUUUCGGUAAGGGAUGAGCUCGCGGCCUAUCAGCUUGUUGGUGGGGUAAUGGCCUACCAAGGCGUCGACGGGUAGCCGGCCUGAGAGGGUGGACGGCCACAUUGGGACUGUGAGACGGCCCAGACUCCUACGGGAGGCAGCAGUGGGGAAUAUUGCACAAUGGGCGCAAGCCUGAUGCAGCGACGCCGCGUGGGGGAUGACGGCCUUCGGGUUGUAAACUCCUUUCAGCCAUGACGAAGCCCUUGUGGUGACGGUAGUGGUAGAAGAAGCACCGGCUAACUACGUG